AAACUAGUCUGGUAUCCCAAGAUGGGGUGGAGUCUCAUACUUGAGGGUACAGGUUUUGAAGGCCCUUAAGGAAUCUUUUUGUUAGUGUGUAGGUAAAUCUUGGGGUGGAAUGCAGUGAUGGCAGCCAGGUGUACACAAAUGGAGCUUGUGGACAGUCCUGAUUUUUAAAUUCUUGAAUGUAGUCUAGAAUGAAUGGCAAAAGAGCAUUCAUUGCGGGGAUAUGUUUGGUGUCAUAUCAAGUCCGGAAUCUUUGUCUUUUAUAGACAAAUAUGGUGAGUUCUAUCACAUCUGUGAUUUAAAAGAAUCUCUUACCCCUUCUGAAUAGGUCAUCUCCAAAUCACGGAACUAUGAAGGAGCCAUGCCUUCAGAUGGAGGAGUUCUAGACUGGGAUGGAGGAUUUGGCCUGCAUCCUGAGAAAGAAGGUGUGGAGUCAACUGUAGGGUGAUUGAUAGACAGGCUGUCACGCGCAUGAGACAUAGCACCUGGAAGGUGGCCCUGACUGUACUGAUGCUGUGCUGAAUCUCAGCCUGCGACCAACCUUUGAUCAGCAAGUUGUGGAGGGGUCCUGCCUGGGAGGUGCCAUGAUUCUGGAAAGCUGCUGGGGCCUCAAAUGCUUCCUGGAUGUUGGUGGCAUGUAAAGGCCUAAGGACCAAAGGUGACCCUUGUGUCCUUGAGACUGUCUGCUCCAAGAACAGGAGUCCUCAAAGGGGAGGUCCUGGAUGGACUGUUGAACUUUGUGAGGGAGACCAGAUGAUUGGAGUCAUGAACAGCGCCUCAUGGUGACUAAUAAUGCCAUAGUCCUGGCUGCUGAGCUGGCCGCAUCCAGAGCCGCCUGGAGGGAGAUCCUAGCCACAGUCUUGCCCUCCCUUCAGGAUGUCUGCGAACUCCUGCCUCGACUCCUGAAGAAGGGAGUCUUUAAAUUUGAAUGAGUCCCACAGAUUAAAAUCAUACCUCUCCAGCAGAACCUGCU